GCGAAAGUAGCUCAGUUGGUAGAGCGCCACCUUGCCAAGGUGGAGGUCGCCGGUUCGAACCCGGUCUUUCGCUCCA
rnacentral:tRNA from 1 species